UUUAUGAAUUCCAAUUUUUAGUUACUACUCUAUGACUUUACUUGUAUAGGUUUAAUAUAAGAAUCCAGAUUUCUGUUAACUGCCAGAAAGUAACUUAAUAGAUUAAAAUUGUAGCAGUUUGGGCAAUUUUAUGGAAUUUUGCAGAACAACCCUUUAACUACAUUUCAUUAUAGUUAUUGCUUUCAGACUUUACAUUUGAAAUAUGAAAAUGCUUAAAAAUUAACAUUCACACCAUAUGAAUGUUGACUGAAAUGGCUGUUUUUAUUCUGGUAUACAUUUGAGUAGGUCCAGGCCUAAAACAAAAAGAAAAGAAAAAAGAAUGAGUGUUCUUCUAACAGAGGAGGAGACAAUUGCAUUACACCACAUCACACCGCGAGGGUAGAGGAGCACACAGGGAAGCACUGUAGUUGAUGCAGAGAAGAGGU
rnacentral:lncRNA from 1 species